ACUCUAUACGGAGUUACAAAGGACGACAUUAGACGAAUCAUCUGGAAAGAUGAAUCAAAGAAGGUAAUAAUCCUGUAGUCGAAAAUGUUGUCUCUCUUGAGUGGAUCCUGAGUACGACGGAGCACGUGAAAUUCCGUCGGAAUCUGGGAGGACCAUCUCCUAAGGCUAAAUACUCUCUAGUGACCGAUAGUGAACCAGUACCGUGAGGGAAAGGUGAAAAGCACCCCGGAAGGGGAGUGAAAUAGAACCUGAAACCGUGUGCUUACAAGUAGUCAGAGCCCGUUAAUGGGUGAUGGCGUGCCUUUUGUAGAAUGAACCGGCGAGUUACGAUUUGAUGCAAGGUUAAGCAGUAAAUGUGGAGCCGUAGCGAAAGCGAGUCUGAAUAGGGCGUUUAGUAUUUGGUCGUAGACCCGAAACCAGGUGAUCUACCCUUGGUCAGGUUGAAGUUCAGGUAACACUGAAUGGAGGACCGAACCGACUUACGUUGAAAAGUGAGCGGAUGAACUGAGGGUAGCGGAGAAAUUCCAAUCGAACCUGGAGAUAGCUGGUUCUCUCCGAAAUAGCUUUAGGGCUAGCCUCAAGUGAUGAUUAUUGGAGGUAGAGCACUGUUUGGACGAGGGGCCCCUCUCGGGUUACCGAAUUCAGACAAACUCCGAAUGCCAAUUAAUUUAACUUGGGAGUCAGAACAUGGGUGAUAAGGUCCGUGUUCGAAAGGGAAACAGCCCAGACCACCAGCUAAGGUCCCAAAAUAUAUGUUAAGUGGAAAAGGAUGUGGCGUUGCCCAGACAACUAGGAUGUUGGCUUAGAAGCAGCCAUCAUUUAAAGAGUGCGUAAUAGCUCACUAGUCGAGUGACACUGCGCCGAAAAUGUACCGGGGCUAAACAUAUUACCGAAGCUGUGGAUUGUCCUUUGGACAAUGGUAGGAGAGCGUUCUAAGGGCGUUGAAGCAUGAUCGUAAGGACAUGUGGAGCGCUUAGAAGUGAGAAUGCCGGUGUGAGUAGCGAAAGACGGGUGAGAAUCCCGUCCACCGAUUGACUAAGGUUUCCAGAGGAAGGCUCGUCCGCUCUGGGUUAGUCGGGUCCUAAGCUGAGGCCGACAGGCGUAGGCGAUGGAUAACAGGUUGAUAUUCCUGUACCACCUAUAAUCGUUUUAAUCGAUGGGGGGACGCAGUAGGAUAGGCGAAGCGUGCGAUUGGAUUGCACGUCUAAGCAGUAAGGCUGAGUAUUAGGCAAAUCCGGUACUCGUUAAGGCUGAGCUGUGAUGGGGAGAAGACAUUGUGUCUUCGAGUCGUUGAUUUCACACUGCCGAGAAAAGCCUCUAGAUAGAAAAUAGGUGCCCGUACCGCAAACCGACACAGGUAGUCAAGAUGAGAAUUCUAAGGUGAGCGAGCGAACUCUCGUUAAGGAACUCGGCAAAAUGACCCCGUAACUUCGGGAGAAGGGGUGCUCUUUAGGGUUAACGCCCAGAAGAGCCGCAGUGAAUAGGCCCAAGCGACUGUUUAUCAAAAACACAGGUCUCUGCUAAACCGUAAGGUGAUGUAUAGGGGCUGACGCCUGCCCGGUGCUGGAAGGUUAAGAGGAGUGGUUAGCUUCUGCGAAGCUACGAAUCGAAGCCCCAGUAAACGGCGGCCGUAACUAUAACGGUCCUAAGGUAGCGAAAUUCCUUGUCGGGUAAGUUCCGACCCGCACGAAAGGCGUAACGAUUUGGGCACUGUCUCAACGAGAGACUCGGUGAAAUCAUAGUACCUGUGAAGAUGCAGGUUACCCGCGACAGGACGGAAAGACCCCGUGGAGCUUUACUGUAGCCUGAUAUUGAAAUUCGGCACAGCUUGUACAGGAUAGGUAGGAGCCUUUGAAACGUGAGCGCUAGCUUACGUGGAGGCGCUGGUGGGAUACUACCCUAGCUGUGUUGGCUUUCUAACCCGCACCACUUAUCGUGGUGGGAGACAGUGUCAGGCGGGCAGUUUGACUGGGGCGGUCGCCUCCUAAAAGG
rnacentral:rRNA from 1 species